rnacentral:lncRNA from 1 species
UUAUAUCAUAUGUUUUCAUUUCUUUUUUACUAGGGAGUAGAGCUAUUUUUGCACUCUUUUUUAGUUAUAGAAGCUCUAAAUAAAUUCAAUCAAGAAAGCAUCCAACUGAGAGAAGGGAAAAAGAGCCUCAAGUACCAAAAUGGUAAAUUAUUUCACUUUUUAUUUCUAUUCGAUAAUUCUGCUUUGCGUUUUUUAUCUUAAAUAUUAUGGGUAAAAUGUAUUUAAUAAUCUUAUUGGGUAUAACAAUAAGAUUUUAGUGAUCAUCUUUCUGUAGGGAGUUUUAAUCUUGCCAAUCCUUUUUUUGGCGUUUUGAACACAAAGAUUAGAUCAGAAAACAAAAUAAUUGAAUCUCAGUGUUUGCACCUUUCUCUGUUUUCCUUCUUAUUUUGAAAAUCCAUUUAGUGGGUUGAUUGUCAAGUAUCUGUUUGGAGUCGUUUCUUUUUAGCUAAUCGUUUUUUAAAAUAUGUUUGUUAAGUAGAUAGAUUAAAGUUAGCCAGUCAUCUUGAUCAUUAGUUUGGUCUGUGUCUGCCAAUUAGGUCUGGUUGAGAAUAAAAAGUUUCUUCUUACCCAACUCGUCUUUUUAUGGACAGACAUUUAUGGGAAGGAACCUUGAUAACAUAGGUUUGGUUUGGUCAUGUACAUGUGGUUCGACAUUUAUGGAAAUGAAUGUUAGGCUUUGCACGUUUAACUGAUAUUUCAACCUAUUGUUUUUCUAGGGACGUAUGGUUAGAUAUUCAGGAAGAACUCUUAUUGGUGCCUAACUAUUUACUUCUAAUUUCAGCUUAAAACAAAAAGUUUAAAUUUCAGUAAGUUUUUUGGUUGCUAUCCUGUUCUUUUGAUCAAUUUGUUAGGAGAAUGGUAAGGUGAUGCUAGCUUUAUUAGUUUCGUUUGUGGUUUUGAUAUUUUUGACUCAGUAAUUAUAUGUUUUGUGAUUUCUUCUUGCUUUUUUUGGAAACAACAGCUGUCGUUUAUCUAGACUUGAAAAGAGUUCUUCUAGCAUUCCAAUAAUCUCAGUGAGCAAUCCGGAGAAAGGAGCCUUGCGGUUAUGUUCUUAUGAUGAGGGAGUUUCUAUACCUCCUUAUGUGUUUCUAUUUUAGUCAACAGUAUUAACUCCUAAUAUUCUUAUUAGAGAAUGUACAAUAAUAAGCUAGCUAAGU